rnacentral:rRNA from 1 species
CUAUACCUGCAGUCGAGCGGACAGAUGGGAGCUUGCUCCCUGAUGUUAGCGGCGGACGGGUGAGUAACACGUGGGUAACCUGCCUGUAAGACUGGGAUAACUCCGGGAAACCGGGGCUAAUACCGGAUGGUUGUUUGAACCGCAUGGUUCAAACAUAAAAGGUGGCUUCGGCUACCACUUACAGAUGGACCCGCGGCGCAUUAGCUAGUUGGUGAGGUAACGGCUCACCAAGGCGACGAUGCGUAGCCGACCUGAGAGGGUGAUCGGCCACACUGGGACUGAGACACGGCCCAGACUCCUACGGGAGGCAGCAGUAGGGAAUCUUCCGCAAUGGACGAAAGUCUGACGGAGCAACGCCGCGUGAGUGAUGAAGGUUUUCGGAUCGUAAAGCUCUGUUGUUAGGGAAGAACAAGUACCGUACGAAUAGGGGGGAACCUUGACGGUACCUAACCAAAAAGCCACGGCUAACUACGUGCCAGCAGCCGCGGAAAUACGUAGGUGGCAAGCGUUGUCCGGAAUUAUUGGGCGUAAAGGGCUCGCAGGGGGUUUCUUAAGUCUGAUGUGAAAGCCCCCGGCUCAACCGGGAAGGGUCAUUGAAAACUGGGGAACUUGAUUGCAAAAAAGGAGAGUGGAAUUCCACGUGUACCGGUGAAAUGCGUAAAGAUGUGGAGGAACACCAGGGGCGAAGGCGACUCUCUGGUCUGUAACUGACGCUGAGGAGCGAAAGCGUGGGGAGCGAACAGGAUUAUAUACCCUGGUAGUCCACGCCGUAAACGAUGAGUGCUAAGUGUUAGGGGGUUUCCGCCCCUUUAGGGCUGCAGCUAACGCAUUAAGCACUCCCCCUGGGAGAGUACGGUCCCAAGGACUGAAACCCCAAAGAAAUUUGACGGGGGGCCCCGCCAAAGGCGGGGGAAAGAAGGGGGGGUU